rnacentral:rRNA from 1 species
GAUUGCAGGCUGCAACUCGCCUGCAUGAAGUCGGAAUCGCUAGUAAUCGUAGGUCAGCAUACUACGGUGAAUACGUUCCCGGGCCUUGUACACACCGCCCGUCCAAACCAUGAGAGUUGGCAACACCCGAAGUCGGUAGUCUAACCGCAAGGAGGACGCCGCCGAAGGUGGGGUUGAUGAUUAGGGUUAAGUCGUAACAAGGUACC